rnacentral:tRNA from 1 species
GCGGGUGUGGCUCAAAGGUGGAGCAGCAGCCUUCCAAGCUGACGGUGUCGGUUCAAUUCCGGCCGCCCGCUCCA